rnacentral:sRNA from 2 species
UGGACAGUGGAUUGGUAUGACGAGGGGACGAAUACAUUAAUUACAGUGGGCAAAUAAAUAAGCACCUCAAGCUCAAGGCGAUCAGUCUCAAAAGUCAGAAAGGAAAAGAAGCCUUCAACUCUACCUAUAUUGUUUACAAAAGACGAUUGUUUUCGUUUUUUUUUUGUUUUUUUUUUUAAAAAAAAAAAGGAGUUGGAAUUGGUCCAUAAAUUCCUGAGCAUUAUUCCAUCUAAUAUACCGCAAGUGCUGUGUACAGUUGAACAGAGGACAUCUCCUGCUUUUGAAAGAGAGAGAGUAUAUGUGUGUGAAACAAUCACAGAUGAUAUAAACAAUGAUCCCAUUAUGUAUAGUUAUAUACUACCAUAACUAUGUAACUACUCUAUACUAGAUAUUUUCUCAGCCUCAGCCCCAGCCCCUCUCUCUCUAUGUGUGUGUAUAUACUAUUACCUACCUGCCUACCUGCCUAUAUACUAUAUGAUCCCUUACACCUGCAUAAAAAAUAAAAAAUAAAAUAAAAAGACCCAAAAUUCCAAAAACACAGCGAGACGGGGGG